rnacentral:rRNA from 1 species
GAUGAACGCUAGCUACAGGCUUAACACAUGCAAGUCGAGGGGAAACGGCAUUGAGUGCUUGCACUCUUUGGACGUCGACCGGCGCACGGGUGAGUAACGCGUAUCCAACCUUCCCAUUACUGUGGGAUAACCUGCCGAAAGGCAGACUAAUACCGCAUAGUCUUCGAUGACGGCAUCAGAUUUGAAGUAAAGAUUUAUCGGUAAUGGAUGGGGAUGCGUCUGAUUAGCUUGUUGGCGGGGUAACGGCCUACCAAGGCGACGAUCAGUAGGGGUUCUGAGAGGAAGGUCCCCCACAUUGGAACUGAGACACGGUCCAAACUCCUACGGGAGGCAGCAGUGAGGAAUAUUGGUCAAUGGACGGAAGUCUGAACCAGCCAAGUAGCGUGCAGGAUGACGGCCCUAUGGGUUGUAAACUGCUUUUGUAUGGGGAUAAAGUUAGGGACGUGUCCCUAUUUGCAGGUACCAUACGAAUAAGGACCGGCUAAUUCCGUGCCAGCAGCCGCGGUAAUACGGAAGGUCCAGGCGUUAUCCGGAUUUAUUGGGUUUAAAGGGAGCGUAGGCUGGAGAUUAAGUGUGUUUGUGAAAUGUAGACGCUCAACGUCUGAAUUGCAGCGCAUACUGGUUUCCUUGAGUACGCACAACGUUGGCGGAAUUCGUCGUGUAGCGGUGAAAUGCUUAGAUAUGACGAAGAACUCCGAUUGCGAAGGCAGCUGACGGGAGCGCAACUGACGCUAAGCUCGAAGGUGCGGGUAUCAAACAGGAUAGAUACCCUGGUAGUCCAAGGGCGAAUUCCACAGUGGAUAUCAAGCUUAUCGAUACCGUCGACCUCGAGGGAGGGGCCCGGUACCCAGCUUUUGUUCCCUUUAGUAGGGGUUAAUUAUGUGCUGGUUUGUGUUAUAGUUGUGUUCAUGUGUGUGUUGUGUUGUGUUAGUUUGUGUUGUUGCUAUGAUAGUGAUAUGUGUAGUGGUGGUGUAGUGAUGUUGAUUAGGUUGUGUGUUGUGUGUGUUAUGUGUGUGUGUGGCGAUGUGUAGUUUA